rnacentral:rRNA from 1 species
GACGAACGCUGGCGGCGUGCCUAACACAUGCAAGUCGAACGGGACUUAAUGGAAAGCGGCUUCGGCCAAUGGAAGUUAAGUUUAGUGGCGAACGGGUGAGUAACGCGUGAGGAACCUGCCUUCCAGUGGGGGACAACAGAGGGAAACUUCUGCUAAUACCCCAUAUGCGCGUAGCUGAGAUGCUAUUCGUGAAAACUCCGGUGCUCUAGGAUGAGUCUGCAUCUGAUUAGCUAGUUGGGGGUGUAAUGGACCACCAAGGCGACGAUCAGUAGCUGGUUUGAGAGGAUGAUCAGCCACAAUGGGACUGAGACACGGCCCAUACUCCUACGGGAGGCAGCAGUAGGGAAUUUUGCGCAAUGGGCGAAAGCCUGACGCAGCAACGCCGCGUGAUUGAAGAAGCCCUUCGGGGUGUAAAGAUCUGUCAGUGGGGACGAAACUUGACGGUACCCACAGAGGAAGCAUCGGCUAACUCCGUGCCAGCAGCCG